UACGUAGGGUGCAAGCGUUGUCCGGAAUUAUUGGGCGUAAAGAGCUCGUAGGCGGCUUGUCGCGUCGGCUGUGAAAACUCGGGGCUCAACCCCGAGCCUGCAGUCGAUACGGGCAGGCUAGAGUCCGGCAGGGGAGACUGGAAUUCCUGGUGUAGCGGUGAAAUGCGCAGAUAUCAGGAGGAACACCGGUGGCGAAGGCGGGUCUCUGGGCCGAUACUGACGCUGAGGAGCGGAAGCGUGGGGAGCGAACAGG
rnacentral:rRNA from 1 species